rnacentral:rRNA from 1 species
GGGUAGUAGUGGCCGGGGGGGAGGGUGAGCAGGGGGGUGCAAGGGGUAACCGGAAACACUGGGCUUAAGGGGCGUGUAGGUGGACCGGUAAGUCCGGCUUUGAAGACCGAGGCUCAACCGGGGGAAUGGGCUGGGUACUGCGGGUCGGGACCGCUGGAGAGAGAACUGGAAUUCCUGGUGUAGCGGUGGAAUGCGUAGAUACCAGGAGGAACACCAACGGCGAAGGCAGGUUCUUGGACAGAAGGUGACGCUGAGGCGCGAAAGUGUGGGGAGCGAACCGGAUUAGAUACCCCGGUAGUC